AUUUAUUUAGUAUAAUUAGUACAUUUGACUUCCAAUCAUAAAGCUUGAAUAUUCAAAAUAAAUA
rnacentral:tRNA from 1 species